AUUAUAGGAACAUACUCUGUACCAUUUCGGUUAAAGCCCAAAUUCAUGAACAGCAAGUACUCCCAUUUGUUCAAUGCGUGCAACAAUUAUCUGUGGGUAACACUACAAGUGAGGAGAUAUGCCUGCUAUUACAAAACAAAAGGGAGGGAAAACAGUGUUAAGCACUGACACUCAAGAGCCCACCAUGGCAGCUUCCUAGAACAAGGACUAAACCUAGUUACAGAAGGCAUUUUCUCAGGGAAAAGUUCCCCCAUGCUGGUGAUCUGGAAUUCUAAUGGAAACAUUCUAGUCUUGUCUGUUACAUGAUCAACAAAGGCAUUUUACAAGGUGCAAAAGAAACAAACACCAAAACGAUAACACACACACCCACACCCCUCUUAAACAUGCAACAGUUUCUUCCCCACUCAAGAGAGAGAGAUUUAUUUUUCUAGAUUAGGAAGGUUAUAUAUUCCUGAAGGAAGAAACUCCGAUGUGGACGGCUUUUCCAGCAGUGAGCAGAGAUUAACACUAUCCUAGAACAGUAUUCUAGGCGAAAUCCUACUCACAGCUAAAGAAGAGAACGGACCGUCAAGUUCAAAGUUCCUCCCUAGUCCUCAGGUGGGACAGACAAGGACCCCACACACCGAUCCACUUACCCAGCAAGCACUGGGAAAGGAGUUUACUGGAGAAAAUUACUCCUGUAGAGUUUUAUUACCUUAAAGAUGAUGACUUAACUUUUACUUGAAAAUGGAAGAACAAGAGCCAGUGAUGACUUCUGCCUGGGUGGAAGCACGCUCCGUCAUUUGGAAAAAGACAACACUAACCUACACACAGAAUGCUCCUUGCUGGCGGACGAAGGCCGGAUUGCUGUGAACGGACUUAGAACUCUGCUCUCACAGCGAGCUUUGCUGACAGUAACUAAUUAAUCUCCCAAAGGCUGCAGUGAGACAAGGUAAGAAACCCAUGAGUGCCUGGCUCAGGUCAGCCCCAUGGCCAGUUUUAUUUCUGCACUCCCGGUGAUUCUCAAAAUGACCGCUGUUCACGCCACCAGUCAUUCGAAAGGCGCUGACUC
rnacentral:lncRNA from 1 species